rnacentral:rRNA from 1 species
GGCUCAGAUUGAACGCUGGCGGCAUGCCUUACACAUGCAAGUCGAACGGCAGCACGGGGCAACCUGGUGGCGAGUGGCGAACGGGUGGGUAAUGCAUCGGAACGUGCCAUUGAGUGGGGAUAACGUAGCGAAAGUUGCGCUAAUACCGCAUAUUCUGUGAGCAGGAAAGCAGGGGACCGCAAGGCCUUGCGCUCUUUGAGCGGCCGAUGUCAGAUUAGCUAGUUGGUGAGGUAACGGCUUACCAAGGCGACGAUCUGUAGCGGGUCUGAGAGGAUGAUCCGCCACACUGGAACUGAGACACGGUCCAGACUCCUACGGGAGGCAGCAGUGGGGAAUUUUGGACAAUGGGCGCAAGCCUGAUCCAGCCAUGCCGCGUGAGUGAAGAAGGCCUUCGGGUUGUAAAGCUCUUUCGGCCGGGAAGAAAUCGCAUGGGUUAAUACCCUGUGUGGAUGACGGUACCGGAAUAAGAAGCACCGGCUAACUACGUG